rnacentral:lncRNA from 7 species
AGUGGGCGAAGAUGUCACAUAGCCGUGAUUAAUCUGGGGGAGCAGCUGAAAUAUUGAUAAGGGGAAAACGGAAAUCAAAUGAAAAGUAGAGGGCACGGAAGAGAGGGAAAGGAAAGCACAUACUGGAGCUGCGAGCGCUGCAGAAGCCCCCUGAGGAAAUGCCUGGUUGAUGCAGCCUGUCUGGAUGGGCUGGGAAUUCUAACUCCAGCGCUGCUUUGGAUCUAACAAGUUUAAUCUCUCCUUUGCAAAACUGCAGCGGCAGAGUAGUAACCCACAGCUGGUGGGGAGUUUUGAUUUUGGUCUCAACCUGGAUCUUUACAAACUGGUCUGCCACUGGUUGAGGGGAAAGGGUAUCAAAGAUCAAUUUUAGGACCUUUUAAAAUAUCUGCUAAACACGUAAGGAUGUUUCAGACUGUACCAGACACUUCGUCUUACGUCAAGAAUUCCUGGUCCUCUCACCUGGGCUGAGGAGGACACCAUCAGGACACCCAGAGAACGGGGGAUUGCAGCAGCUUUGCCGAAAAACGACCCCCACCAGUAUGCUGGAACCAGUGGAUUUUGUAUUCCAGCCUUCCAUAUGCGUUUCCAACCCUAUGUGGCGAGAAAGGGGAGCAAAACGGGAAGAAAAAGUGAAUGCUGAAGGGGAAAAACGCUUAAAAUCUUUCCUGCAAAUCUCCAAAUAUAUGAAGUCUGAGGAACAAAUUCAAAGCAGGCACAGAUGCCUGAAGAGAAGUUAGAGAGAAAUAUUCUGUUCCAUUCAAGCGCAUCAAGGGUCUAGCUGAAGUCUUGUUUGGCUAAGGUCAGACGAGACUGAGUUCUCCAAUAAAAAUAAAUCUCAAAUUAAUUAUGGCCUCAAGCGAGGGGCCAGACCUUU